rnacentral:tRNA from 1 species
ACUAUUUUGGCAGAAGGAGUGCCUUGGAUUUAGAAUCCAAAUAUGUAAUGAAUAUUACAAGUAGUA